UAAAACAACGCACAUUUGCUCGAUGCAC
rnacentral:sRNA from 1 species